AAGAGCUGUAUGCGGAAAAACCGCACGUACGGUUCCGUGAGGGGUAGUAAACAAUCCCUUCAUGAUAUAAAAUAUCAUUGAAAGAAGUGCCGAGACUGUCUACUCGAC
rnacentral:ncRNA from 1 species